AAAAAAAACUCUUGGCUCAGUCUUCCUCUAAUAUUUAUGAAUUGCGUCUUUGUUUUUGUGGAGCUGAUAGGCAAGACAGAUCCAUCCCUGGAGCUUGAAGUUGAAAAUUAUUGGAAUUGUGGGUCAACGCCUGACCAAGGCGGAGCUGAAGGGACGAGGGAGCCCAGUGGAGCUGAUGGAUCGAUGGUUGAUGGUGGAGGCGAGGGAGCUAGGAGCCGAGGUGGAGCCGCUGGGUCUACUGUCUAUUCUACACCAAUAAGCUGGUGUGUGGUGGGCAUUCUGGCGCAAUAUCAGUGGUGGAGGCGGCAGACGAUCUUUGCGGCACCGCGUGAAGUUGAACAAGCCUACAGUCGAGCUGUUGUUGUAACCUGCUGUUGGUGAGUUUUUUCAACUCUGUUUAUGUUGAAUUUAAGUUCUCAAUUUCAAGCCUGCUCUAGUUUAUGUCAUGGUUUUUGUUGUUUGUAUCUGGUCCUGUAAAGAGUAGUCCACUGAAGGCAAGCGUAGAUGAACC
ensembl:lncRNA